rnacentral:lncRNA from 1 species
UGUGGUAGAAGCCCUUUUGGCUGCUUGCAUCAGUGGUUACAAGGAAGAAAUCAGGGAUACAUUUGCAAUAAAGAGAAAUAAUCGGCUGGGCACGGUGGCUUACACCUGUAAUCCCAGUACUUUGGGAGGCCGAGGCAGGCAGAUCACCUGAGGUCAGGAGUUCGAGACCAGCCUGACCAACAUGGAGAAACCUCAUCUCUACUAAAAAAAGACAAAAUUAGCUGGGCGUGAGCCACUGUGCCUGGCUUUUAAAAGCUUUUCAGUUGAAAGGUAAUCUUGGAACACAGGUGGGUUCCAGUUGCUUGGAGCAUGAGGAACACCUGAUUGAAUGUCCUAACGUCAGACCUGUGUCUGCAAAUGGAAAGUGAAGCCUGCUGCAGGAAGAGGGAGGUGGUUGGUGCUUCCUAGAAGAGGUGGGCCUUUAAUGACUACACCUGCACAGUGCUAUCAGGUCCUUAUUGUGGGACCGAAUCACUGACAUCCUAAUGAAAAUAUUAGCUAGGCCAUUUGCAGGUACAAGAGCACAGGUGGUCCUUGUGCUCUUUUUUGAUUUGUUUGAAGGUAGGUGUGAUUUGCCUUCAGGACUUCAUCAGCAACAAUAGGAUUUGAAUAAGAGGAUAGGCUGCUGUACGUGGUUGUGUACAAUUUUUAAAGGGCUCUUGUACACAGGGUGGGGUGUGGGCAGGGAGAACAAAGCAUGGUCCCCAGUGAUGUUUAGUAAAAAUAUGUCUAGAAAGUUAAUAAAACUCUGGUCUGUGCUUAAGGCAAUAACAACAUGAGUCUCUGGCAUGAGUCUGUGUCCUGAUUAGAGGACAGGUUGUUUGUAAUCAACCCUUAUUCUGUCAUCUAGAUUUCCGUGUUUUAAGCAAUGAAGACAGAA